rnacentral:rRNA from 1 species
UUCGCCCUUAGAGUUUGAUCCUGGCUCAGAGCGAACGCUGGCGGCAGGCUUAACACAUGCAAGUCGAACGCAUCCUUCGGGAUGAGUGGCAGACGGGUGAGUAACACGUGGGAACGUGCCCUCCGGUCUGGGAUAACCCUGGGAAACCAGGGCUAAUACCGGAUACGUGCUUUGGCAGAAAGGUUUACUGCCGGAGGAUCGGCCCGCGUCUGAUUAGCUAGUUGGUGGGGUAACGGCCUACCAAGGCGACGAUCAGUAGCUGGUCUGAGAGGAUGAUCAGCCACACUGGGACUGAGACACGGCCCAGACUCCUACGGGAGGCAGCAGAAGGG